rnacentral:rRNA from 1 species
AACGAACGCUGGCGGCGCGCCUAACACAUGCAAGUCGAACGCGAAAGGGGGCAACCCUGAGUAAAGUGGCGCACGGGUGAGUAACGCGUAGGUGAUCUACCUUUGUGACCGGAAUAACCAGCCGAAAGGUUGGCUAAUACUGGAUAGAGCGCAUGACUCAUAAAGAGUUGUGCGGGAAAGGAUGGCGCCCGCAAGGGGCUAUCGCACUGAGAUGAGCCUGCGUCUCAUUAGCUAGUUGGUAGGGUAAUGGCCUACCAAGGCAUUGAUGGGUAGCUGGUCUGAGAGGACUAUCAGCCACACUGGAACUGAAACACGGUCCAGACUCCUAAGGGAGGCAGCAGUGGGGAAUCUUGCGCAAUGGACGAAAGUCUGACGCAGCGACGCCGCGUGGGUGAAGAAGGCCUUCGGGUUGUAAAGCCCUGUCGAGUGGGGAAAAUGGUCCGGUGAGGAAAUGCACUGGGCGUGACGGUACCUCAGGAAUAAGCCACGGCUAGCUCUGUGCCAGCAGCCGCGGUAA